GACGAACGCUGGCGGCGUGCCUAAUACAUGCAAGUCGAACGCAGUGGGGACGGGUGCGUCACAAGUGGGUAACGUCCCAUCAGAGGGGAGAACACUUGGAAACAGCUGCUAAACCGAUACUGAUGGAUGGACCCGCGGUGCAUUAGGUAGUUGGUGAGGUAACGGCUCACCAAGGCCAAGAUGCAUAGCGGAACUGAGCGGUUGAUCGUCCACGCUGGGACUGCGACACGGCCCAGACUCCUACGGUAGGCAGCAGUAGGUAAUCUUCGGCAAUGGGCGAAAGUCUGAUCCAUCAACGCCGCGUUAGUGGAGAAGGUGUUCGGAUCGUAAAACUCUGUUGUUAGAGUAGCGGUAUCUAACCAGAAAGCCCCGGCUAACGACGUGCCAGCAGCCGCGGUAAUAC
rnacentral:rRNA from 1 species